GUAGUUUGAGUGUGAUCAGAAGCAACACUCAUAAUGUUGGGGUCCCUAGUUCGAAUCUAGGUGUAGCCACCA
rnacentral:tRNA from 1 species